UGGAAUGCCUUGCUGGCGCUGGUAAAAUGGAACCAAAUCAACAUUUCAACGGCUUUGGUCCCCUUCAACCAGCUCUAGAUAAGCAUUAUG
rnacentral:pre_miRNA from 1 species